GAUGAACGCUGGCGGCAUGCCUAACACAUGCAAGUCGAGCGAUUCUCUUCGGAGAAGAGCGGCGGACGGGUGAGUAACGCGUGGGUAACCUGCCCUGUACACACGGAUAACAUACCGAAAGGUAUGCUAAUACGAGAUAAUAUGCUUUUAUCGCAUGGUAGAAGUAUCAAAGCUUUUGCGGUAUAGGAUGGACCCGCGUCUGAUUAGCUAGUUGGUAAGGUAACGGCUUACCAAGGCGACGAUCAGUAGCCGACCUGAGAGCGUGAUCGGCCACAUUGGAACUGAGACACGGUCCAAACUCCUACGGGAGGCAGCAGUGGGGAAUAUUGCACAAUGGGCGAAAGCCUGAUGCAGCAACGCCGCGUGAGCGAUGAAGGCCUUCGGGUCGUAAAGCUCUGUCCUCAAGGAAGAUAAUGACGGUACUUGAGGAGGAAGCCCCGGCUAACUACGUGCCAGCCGCCGCCGUAA
rnacentral:rRNA from 1 species